rnacentral:rRNA from 1 species
UACGUAGGCAGCGAGCGUUGUUCGGAGUUACUGGGCGUAAAGGGUGUGUAGGCGGUUCUUUAAGUUUGGUGUGAAAUCUCCCGGCUCAACUGGGAGGGUGCGCCGAAUACUGAGGGACUAGAGUGCGGGAGAGGAAAGUGGAAUUCCUGGUGUAGCGGUGAAAUGCGUAGAUAUCUGGAGGAACACCGGUGGCGAAGGCGGCAUCCUGGACCGGCAUUGACGCUGAGGCGCGAAAGCCAGGGGAGCAAACGGG